CUGCAUGCCUGGGAGAUGGGCAGGUUUGGCUGGAAUUAUGCAUUAUUAAUUCCUCUUAUUAUGAUACUUGAUCAGCGCUAAUUGAGAGUAUUCAAUGAAAAGAAGGGAAAUGGGGGUGUCCUGGCACGACGAUAAUUACGUAUGAUCUCAUCUGGGGUUUUACAGGAUUAAAGGGGGGGUCAGGAUUAGAUGAUCCGCAGCCAGCAUGUACACCUUCCAAUGAACAUUAAACCAAUAACGAGGGAUCAAUCCGUACGAUGUACUGUACAGGCUCAGGACGAGGCGGUCACCUGAGACUACUGGACCAAGUGAUGCCCAGCUCAUCUCCUGCCAGCUCUGACCACUACUUCCAGCACACACUCCUACCAACAAUCUCACUUUUAUUCCACCACCUCAGGAGGAGCACAGCAACUUGCUAAAGCUCCAAUAAAUUCCAGGAGUCGAAGGAAAUACCAGGUACUGAUUGACCAGCACUGUCAUACAUGGAGUCUAUAGCCCUGUCUAAGCAGCAACUCCGGCGGCUUGUAGCCUAUACAGGGCUUUCCCUACACCCCAGGUGGCUUAAUGCAAUGGUGGAAGAGCAAAAGGAAGGCAAGUAUAAGCUGCUGGGGAGGACUGCAUUAGUGGGAACCUGUUGUUUUUCCCUGUAUGACCAAUAGAAAAGUUCACAUGGGGUACAUAAGUAAAUUUGUUGAUAGUUAUGGUCCACUGGUUCUGCUUUGGCAGAUAUAGUCAGUGAUGAGAAUUUUUUUUUUAAGUUACCGUAUUUAUUGGCGUAUAAC